GAAAUAUAGGCUAAUCAUAAACCAUGGGCCUUCAAAGCCCAAACUGUGAAGUCACUAUUUCUG
rnacentral:tRNA from 1 species